GCUGGGCAUGGUGGCAUAUACCUGUAAUCCCACCAACUUGGGAGCUGAGGCUGGAGGAUCACCAGUUUAAGGCGAGGCUCAAAAACUUAGUGAGACCCUGUCUCAA
rnacentral:sRNA from 1 species